CCCAGAGGGGAUUAGCCUGUAGGUGAGGUAAGAGCUCACCUAAGCUGCGAUCUCUAGCUGGUCUGAGAGGAUGACCAGCCACAUCGGGACUGAGACACGGCCCGGACUCCUACGGGAGGCAGCAGUAGGGAAUAUUGCACAAUGGGGGAAACCCUGAUGCAGCCAUGCCGCGUGUGUGAAGAAGGCCUUCGGGUUGUAAAGCACUUUCAGAGGGGAGGAAACAAUGACGUUACCCUCAGAAGAAGCACCGGCUGACUCCGUGCCAGCAGCCGCGGUAAUACGGAGGGUGCGAGCGUUAAUCGGAAUAACUGGGCGUAAAGGGCAUGCAGGCGGGACGGUAAGUAAGGUGUGAAAUACCGGGGUUUAACCUCGGGGCUGCAUUUUAAACUGCCGUUCUUGAGUAUUGCAGGGAGAGACGGAAUUCCUGGUGUAGCGGUGGAAUGCGUAGAGAUCAGGAAGAACACCGGAGGCGAAGGCGGUCUCUUGGGCAAAUACUGACGCCUGAGAUGCGAAAGCGCGGGAAGCAAACAAGGAUUAAGAUACCCUGGUAGUCCGCGCCGUUAAACCGAUGUCGAUUGGGAGUCCGAACUUAGGUUUGGGUUUCCGGAGCAAACGCGUUAAAUCGACCGCCUGGGGAGUAGCGGCCGCAAGGUUAAAACUCAAAUGAAUUGAGCGGGGGCCCGCACAAGCGGUGGAGCAUUGUGGUUUAAUUCUGACGCAACGCGAAGAACGCUUACCUGAUCUUGACUAUCCGAAGAACCGCUCACGAAGGGAGAGGGGUGCCUUAGGAGCGUCGUCGUGACAGAGUGCAUGCAUGGCUGUACGUCAGCUCGUGUCGUGAGAUGUUGGGAUUAAGUCCCGCAAUCGAGCGCAACACCUGUCCUUUGUUCGACCAGCGUGGUAAAGCCAGGGAACUCAAAGGAGACUGCCGGUGACAAACUGGAGGAAGACGGGGAUGACGUCAAGUCAUCAUGGCCCUUACGGUCAGGGCUACACACGUGCUACAAUGGGCUGUACAGAGGGAAGCGAAGCUCGCGAAACGGAGCGGAACCCAAAAAACAGUCCGAAGUUCGGAUCGGAGUCUGCAACCCCGACUCCAGUGAAGUCGGAAUCGCUAGUAAUCGCAAAUCAGAAUGUUGCGGUGAAUACGUUCCCGGGCCUUGUACACACCG
rnacentral:rRNA from 1 species